AUUCCUUGCCCUGAAAAGUUCUUAUCACAUAGAAGUUACAGUCAUGUAGCUAAUUAGGUGCAACACAACAAUAAUGCAUUGUUACAGGCAGUGCAAAAGGAACUAAAAAGCAUAUGCAGAUCUGCCUAGUCCUCAGUGAAGGCUGGGAUUUGAACAAGGCUUCUGAAAAAUAAGAGCUAAAUCACCAGAAAGACUCACCAUUCCUGAGCUAUUUUGGUGCAGGAGCACUUGUCUACAAUAACUGAUUAUCUCUGCCACAUCAUCUCCCUGAGACCAAGAAGAUCAAAUGAGUUUAAAUCAAAUGUCUCCAGCUAGGUUGGCUGGCACCUAUCCAUGAAGCAAAUUACUGGAGAAAGUCUCAUCUAAGAACUCAGAAGAAACAAAAUUAUUUUUCCUCCUCUACAUUAGUUUGUAUUAAGCCUCUGUCGUUCAUUCACCACAUAACGUGUAAUGACAUUGGACUGAUCCCAUGGUGCUUUCCUCCAUCACUUGAUGUGUGUAUAAGAACCCCCAGGCUUCACGCAGGAGGGAAAAGAAUAUCCUUAGAAGAAGGUUCUUGCUGUUUUCCUCAUGGUUUACAACUUGAAGAUGUUUUGGAACUGACUUUCAAAAGGACAAUUUCCCAGCAUUCUUGGAAGAAAAAAGUAAAGGACAGCUUAAAAAAUUACAUUUGAAAAACUUAAAGAUGUCAUUUGGAAAUUAUGAUGGAUUUUCAACUAAACCUAUU